UAGCCUAGUGGUUAAGGCUAUGGAUCGCCAAUCCUCAGACGGCGGGUUCGAUUCCCGU
rnacentral:tRNA from 1 species